rnacentral:rRNA from 1 species
UACAGAGGGUGCGAGCGUUGUUCGGAAUUAUUGGGCGUAAAGGGCGCGUAGGCGGUGCGGUAAGUCACCUGUGAAAUCUCCUGGCUCAACUGGGAGCUUGCAGGCGAAACUUCCGUGCUGGAGUGUGGGAGAGGUGCGUGGAAUUCCUGGUGUAGCGGUGAAAUGCGUAGAUAUCAGGAGGAACACCUGUGGCGAAAGCGGCGCACUGGACCACAACUGACGCUGAGGCGCGAAAGCUAGGGGAGCAAACAGG